GCGGAGGAAAAGAAACCAACAGGGAUUGCCCUAGUAACGGCGAGUGAAGCGGCAACAGCUCAAAUUUGAAAUCUGGCUCUUUCAGGGUCCGAGUUGUAAUUUGCAGAGGGUGCUUUGGCGCUGGCAGCGGUCCAAGUUCUUUGGAACAGGACGUCAUAGAGGGUGAGAAUCCCGUACAUGGUCGCUAGCCUUCGCUGUGUAAAGCCCCUUCGACGAGUCGAGUUGUUUGGGAAUGCAGCUCUAAAUGGGAGGUAAAUUUCUUCUAAAGCUAAAUACUGGCCAGAGACCGAUAGCGCACAAGUAGAGUGAUCGAAAGAUGAAAAGCACUUUGGAAAGAGAGUCAAAUAGCACGUGAAAUUGUUGAAAGGGAAGCGCUUGCAGCCAGACUUGCCUGUAGUUGCUUAUCUGGACUUUUGUCUAGUGCACUCUUCUGCGGGCAGGCCAGCAUCAGUUUGGGCGGUUGGAUAAAGGUCUCUAUCACGUACCUCCUUUCGGGGAGGCCUUAUAGGGGAGACGACAUGCAAUCAGCCUGGACUGAGGUC
rnacentral:rRNA from 1 species